GUGGGGAAUUUUGCGCAAUGGGCGAAAGCCUGACGCAGCAACGCCGCGUGGAGGAUGAAGGUCUUCGGAUUGUAAACUCCUGUCAGUGGGGAAAAAGGGGAACGGGCUCAUACCCCGUUUCAUUGAUUGUACCCGCAGAGGAAGCCCCGGCUAACUCUGUGCCAGCAGCCGCGGUAAUACAGAGGGGGCAAGCGUUAUUCGGAAUUAUUGGGCGUAAAGGGCGCGUAGGCGGCCCUUCAAGUGGUAGGUGAAAUCCCUCGGCUCAACCGAGGAGCUGCCCGCCAAACUGAAGAGCUUGAGUCCGGGAGAGGUGAGUGGAAUUCCCAGUGUAGCGGUGAAAUGCGUAGAUAUUGGGAGGAACACCAGUGGCGAAGGCGGCUCACUGGACCGGAACUGACGCUGAGGCGCGAAAGCGUGGGGAGCAAACGGGAUUAGAUACCCGAGUAGUCC
rnacentral:rRNA from 1 species